rnacentral:scRNA from 1 species
CCCCGUUGGCUCGUUGGACAGGCCCCGAGUAG